CGGGAAGUAGCUCAGCUUGGUAGAGCACUUGGUUUGGGACCAAGGGGCCGCAGGUUCAAAUCCUGUCUUCCCGA
rnacentral:tRNA from 4 species